rnacentral:rRNA from 1 species
UACUCGAGUGGCGAACGGGUGAGUAACACGUGGGUGAUCUGCCCUGCACUCUGGGAUAAGCCUGGGAAACUGGGUCUAAUACCGGAUAGGACCAUGCUUUAGUGUGUGUGGUGGAAAGUUUUUUUCGGUGUAGGAUGAGCCCGCGGCCUAUCAGCUUGUUGGUGGGGUAAUGGCCUACCAAGGCGGCGACGGGUAGCCGGACUGAGAGGUUGGUCGACCACAUUGGGACUGAGAUACGGCCCAG